AUACCAUGUUGCAACAAUUUUGAUACAUUUAAUUCAUGUUGCAUACCGGUUGGUGUGUCUGUCGGGUUUGCAUGUCCGUUAUCCAUUGUUAAACUGCGAAUCGUUUCCCGACAUACAGUACAGGAUAUGGCCAUGUUGCAACCAACAGGAAUAAAGUAUGUUGGAGGUGUUUAUGUUUGGGGAAGUAUUACUUCCAUUCAAUUCUGCAAGUUGACUUGGUUUCUGUUUUAAAUCUUCCUGAAUGGACGCAGUGUACUUCUCCCAGCUUCCGCUGCAGAUAGCACUCGUGUUUUCAACGCUCUUUAUGAGACAAUUCGACGUCGGAAAAGGUCACACUAAAGACGAACAGCAUCGCUUGCAUAAGCGAACAGCUAUUAGCCAAGUAACAACAAGCAUACGUACGCCAGAUGGGAAUGUCUGUGAUGGGCACGUCCUGAAUACGAAACAGAUUUCCUCAAACACCGAUGGUACGAAGGGGCAUCCGUACCGGGAUGCAGAUGCGAACGUCCAAGAAAAAGUCCGCUCGACAGUUGUUUUGCUCGGAGCCGAAGUGGAGAAAAAUAUAUAAACAUCAAUCGCAAGCGGAUCAGGCGGCAAAACCAUGCGGGUGAUGGUGGACAAAUGCCGGAACCAGUUUGAUAUACGAUCCGCAAAGUUUCCGGGUAUACCUGAAGUGGUGCUAGAGCGGCCGACCGGAAAGACGCGCUUUUCCUUCCCAUGCGCAUGAAAACUUGUAUUAAAAGAAUGUUUGCCAUGUACGAGUAGUCCAUUAACCUGCCUGCUUCGCUUUUACGAUAUUUCCCCAGAAUAUUAUUAUUAAAUAUACAUUCCUAACUCCGCCGUUUUAACUGUCCCUUUUCCUUCAACACGUUUCGGCCGUGAAUUUUGUUCGAUAGAUUUAAAAACGUCUAAAAUCCUGUAGCUUGUCCCUAUAACUUUAAUUUUCAAUCUUCUCGUCCUUUGAAUUACGAAGCAUGACCAAAACGAAUUUCGA